rnacentral:rRNA from 1 species
UACAGAGGGGGCAAGCGUUGUUCGGAAUUACUGGGCGUAAAGGGCGCGUAGGCGGCCUUCUAAGUCGAACGUGAAAUCCCCGGGCUCAACCCGGGAACUGCGUCCGAUACUGGAAGGCUUGAAUCCGGGAGAGGGAUGCGGAAUUCCAGGUGUAGCGGUGAAAUGCGUAGAUAUUUGGAGGAACACCGGUGGCGAAGGCGGCAUCCUGGACCGGUAUUGACGCUGAGGCGCGAAAGCCAGGGAGCAAAGCGGG